rnacentral:rRNA from 1 species
UACGUAGGAGGCGAGCGUUGUCCGGAGUUACUGGGCGUAAAGGGUGCGCAGGCGGCGUUCCGCGUGGCGAGAUGAAAUCUCCUGGCUUACCUGGGAGGGUGGUCGCCAGACGGGAGCGCUUGAGGGUCGGAGAGGGGCGUGGAAUUCCGGGUGGAGCGGUGAAAUGCGCAGAUAUCGGGAAGAACACCCGUGGCGAAGGCGGUUCUCUGGGACGGUACUGACGCUGAGACGCGAAAGCGUGGGGAGCGAACAGG